rnacentral:rRNA from 1 species
AGCGAACGCUGGCGGCAUGCCUAACACAUGCAAGUCGAACGGACCCUCCGGGGUUAGUGGCGGAGGGGUGAGUAACACGGAGGAACGUGCCUGUAGGUUCGGAAUAGCUGGGGGAAACGGGUCGUAAUGCAGAAUGUGACCUGCGGGGGACUAAUGUAGCGCCUUAAGAGCGGCCCGCGUCUGAUUAGCUAGUUGGGGAGGUAAGGGCUUACCAAGGAGACGAUCAGUAGCUGGUCUGAGAGGAUGACCAGCCACAUUGGGACUGAGACACGGCCCAAACUCCUACGGGAGGCAGCAGUGGGGAAUCUUGCACAAUGGGGGAAAGCCUGACGCAGCCAUGCCGCGUGAGUGAUGAAGGACUUAGGAAUGUAAAAUUCUUUCACCGGGGACGAUAAUGACGGUACCUGGAGAAGAAGCCCCGGCUAACUACGUGCCAGCCGCCGCCGUAACAC